GCUGACUCAAUCUCUUCAAAAUAAAGUUUACUUUGAUAUCAGCUCCAGAUAAUUCGUCUUUUGCAAGAACAAACUCUUCCAAGUCAACAUCGGGUGCGAGAGUCAUUUUAGCAGUGUGAAUCUAAACAUCAUAUAGCAGGGAUGAGGUAGCUCGAUUUUCCGAUCAAUACGUCCUGGACGAAUCAAUGCUGGAUCUAAAGCUUCAAUUCUAUUUGUUGCCAUAAUAACCUUUUUAGCAUCAAAUCCAUCCAGCUGAUUCAAUAAUUCAAGCAUAGUCCGCUGAAUUUCCCUUUCACCUCCACUAGUGGCCUCGUACCUAAGAGUUUUAUGUUGACAUGAGAAAACAUAUGU